CUUUGGCAUGACAACAUUUGGGUUGCUAUUCCAAAGGAUCUCGUGAGGACUGAUCUCUGCCCUGCGGAGGCUGUAGUAUUUGUUCUGAGUGGUUACAGCAAUGGGCGGUUUUAUGGAGCAAGAAGUAUCGGUUGAUAUUCCAGGGGUGGUGGAGCGUUCAAAGAAGAUUGUCUCUAGAUUGAAAAGACCCCGCAAACAACGAGCCUUGAUCUACUAUUUGUCAACGCUUUCUCAUCGUUAGCAACUUGUGGUUUAUGCUUGGAUCUGAGAAAAUAGAUACCAAGGGACUGGCAAGAUUAUAUACAUGAACUGGGUGUAGCCAUGGCAAAUUGUGAGUGAGGAGGUUUAUCUUCAUGGAAGCCCGGGAUACAUAUAGAUCAGCGCAUUAUUGAUACAUAAUUCGGUUCACUGAACUGAGGUCCAGCAAGUCGCACCUCCUCCAG